GGAGGAUACUUCAACAACUAUAUUCUUAUCUAGGCUUUCCAAAAGUAGCUCAAGAGAAAAGGAAGUCAUAGAACUAAUAAGCAGUCUGAUUUGUAACUGGAGCUAGCUGAAACACUGAAUUCGUUAUCCAGGAAACCAUCCUCCGUAGGUAAAACAUUAGAUGAAAGGGGUGUGCAGAGUUUCUGGAUUUCCAAUUCACAUCGAUUGUGCAAUGGAGCAAGAGAGCAAUCAUUUGAGUAUUGACUGACUUGAAUUUUUGAUCUGACAGAGGAAUCUGGACUCAGGAUCAUGCUUUACAGAAGCACUUCCCCACAGAAUAAUCUGUGAAGAUCGAAUUGCACUCCUGACAGUGCAUUCUCC
rnacentral:misc_RNA from 1 species